rfam:Gemmatimonadetes bacterium 13_1_20CM_4_66_11 13_1_20cm_4_scaffold_229, whole genome shotgun sequence.
CGGGGUGUGGCGCAGUCCGGUAGCGCGCCUGGUUUGGGACCAGGAGGUCGCGGGUUCGAAUCCCGCCGCCCCGA